UUGGAGGGCAAGUCUGGUGCCAGCAGCCGCGGUAAUUCCAGCUCCAAUAGCGUAUAUUAAAGUUGUUGCAGUUAAAAAGCUCGUAGUUGAACUUCGGGGUCUACCCAUUGGUCAGGCUUAAUUGUCUGUACUGGUGAGAUGGAUCUCUACCUUCUGAGGAACAUUCAUGCCAUUUAUUUGGUGUGGUUGGAAAUCAGGACUGUUACUUUGAAAAAAUUAGAGUGUUUAAAGCAGACUAUCGUCUGAAUACAUUAGCAUGGAAUAAUGAAAUAGGACGGACUGAUUCUAUUUCGUUGGUUUCUAGGAUCACCGUAAUGAUUAAUAGGGAUAGUUGGGGGCAUUAGUAUUCAAUUGUCAGAGGUGAAAUUCUUGGAUUUAUUGAAGACUAACUACUGCGAAAGCAUUUGCCAAGGAUGUUUUCAUUAAUCAAGAACGAAAGUUAGGGGAUCGAAGACGAUCAGAUACCGUCGUAGUCUUAACCAUAAACUAUGCCGACUAGGGAUCGGACGAAGUUAAUUUUAUAAUGACGCGUUCGGCACCUUACGGGAAACCAAAGUGUUUGGGUUC
rnacentral:rRNA from 1 species